GGGGUUGUGGCUCAGUGGUAGAGUGCUCACCUAGCACAUGUGAGGCCCUGGGUUCAAUCCUCAGCACCA
rnacentral:tRNA from 1 species